rnacentral:rRNA from 1 species
ACAGGUGCUGCAUGGCUGUCGUCAGUUCUUGUUGUGAAAUGUUGGGUUAAGUCCCGCAACGAGCGCAACCCUUAUCCUUUGUUGCCAGCGGUCCGGCCGGGAACUCAUAGGAAACUGGCAGUGAUAAACUGGAAGAAGGGGGGGAUGAACUCCAGUCAUCCUGGCCCUUACGACCAGGGCUACCCCCGUGCUACAAUGGCGCAUACAAAAAGAAGCGACCUCGCGAGAGCGAGCGGACCUCAUAAAGUGCGUCCUAAUCCGGAUUGGAGUCUGCAACUCCACUCCAUGAAGUCGGAAUCCCUAGUAAUCCUGGAUCAAAAUGCCACGGUGAAUACCUUCCCGGGUCUUGGACACACCGAA